rnacentral:rRNA from 1 species
ACAAGCGGUGGAGUAUGUGGUUUAAUUCGAUGCAACGCGAAGAACCUUACCUGGUCUUGACAUCCCGGAGACCCUUAGGAAACUAGGGGUGCUUCCAUCUGGAAGAAUCUGGAGACAGGUGCUGCAUGGCUGUCGUCAGCUCGUGUCGUGAGAUGUUGGGUUAAGUCCCGCAACGAGCGCAACCCUUGCCUUUAGUUGCCAGCAGUUCGGCUGGGCACUCUAAAGGGACUGCCGGUGUUAAACCGGAGGAAGGUGGGGGUGACGUCAAGUCCUCAUGGCCUUUAUGACCAGGGCUACACACGUACUACAAUGGCCGAUACAAAGGGCAGCGACACUGCGAGGUGAAGCCAAUCCCGUAAAAUCGGUCUCAGUCCGGAUUGGAGUCUGCAACUCGACUCCAUGAAGUUGGAAUCGCUAGUAAUCGUGGAUCAGCAUGCCACGGUGAAUACGUUCCCGGGCCUU